rnacentral:lncRNA from 1 species
UUGAGAGAUGGGUAGAGAAAACACGAAAACGACCAAAGGAAGGCAUAAACUCACCUGAGCUCGAGAAUGGGGAGAAAACUCACCCAUUUCCGAUCUGAGGGCCCUUUAUAGGUGGCCUGGUCAAAGACCUUCGGCAGCCUAACGUGCCCCCUAAACUCAUGCAUGUUCGGCGGCCGAACUUGACUUUCGGCGGCCGAACCUUGGCUCGUUUAAACAAGACUUUCGGAGGCCAAAGGCGCUCCCGAAGCCUUCCCAUGUUCGGCGGCCGAACUUCACUUUCGGCGGCCGAACCUGGCAAACGCCUCCUUGGUCUUUUC